GAAAGAAAGCAACAUGCCCUCAAGUGGUGCUCAGGAUGUGUUUGGACCAGGGUCUGCAAUCUCAAAGUUUUUGAGAUUGCAGGCUCCUUUGGAAUUCUGUUGCACAGAGAUGGGUGCAACCCAAAAUUGCUGCCAUAAGAGGCAGCUCCAAUCACAAAAUGCCAGUGUUAAGAGAGCUUUGAAGUUGGACAGCUUUUCCAUGACAAAAAGGCCCAGAACAUCGCUGGAGAGCAUGAAGAAAAAUCACAAGCCUUAUUCACCAACAACAGGAACACGUUCAAUCAGUCCAUUUUCAAGUCCCAGGAGCAAUAAUGUACAAGAGCAAAGAAAUGGUCUAUCAAAUGGGUGCAGAAAGGAAGUCCAUGGCCUGCUGAAAAGCUCAUCCAAAAAAGGACAACCUGAAAUGGAAAAGAGUGUCAAAUUCUUAGUGGCAAAGCCUUCAGCUGAUGAUUCAGUGGAACGAUUUCUGCAAUUGAGACAGAAACUGACCAGUUUACAGGCUUUGGAGGGCACCAGAGAGCUUGAAAAUAUUAUCAGUGUUUCAGACAACUCCUGCAACUUAAAAAGUGAAGUGAGAAAAAACAGAGAGCUAAUGGGACAAGUAAGAAAACUGAAGCAGCUGGAAAAAAGCCAGAAAGGCCUUCCUGUUGAAGGAGUCUCAAGGAGCCCAGUGAUUCAAAGUGGUAAGCUACAAUACUACAGUCAAAACUCUGCUCACAACCUGAGUUCAAUUCCAGCAGAAGUUGGUUUCAGGUAACCAGCUCAAGGUUGACCCUCCAUCCUUCCAAGAAUGUCAUCGACCUGUCAACAGCUUCAAAUUCCUUAAAUCCCUCAUUGAAUAAGCUGAGAUUGCCAAAGUCAUUCACUUGUAUCUCAAAGCAUGGAGAUUCAACCAAUGAUGAUUGACAAGCAUCACACCUUCUUCCAAGACCUUCCAAGACCUGCCUAAUCCAUGGGCUGAAUAUGAUGGAACGUUGUCUGUACAUAUACAGUACAGAGGGGAUUCCUUUGCAUAAAGUCUUACUCUUCUUGCCACUUUCAUGGGGGUAGGGUAGUAAGCAAAGACUGCAUGUCCUGUGAACACUUAUAAAUUGUUACACUUCCAGCAUCUAUUCCAGUGUUACAAUCUACUGUAUUGACCUAGAAGAGCCGAUGGAAUGUGAUAGGCAUCUUGAUGACACUCUCUGCCAUGUUUAGAUUUGAGGUGUUUUGAGGUAAAGACGAGCAUACCUCAGUCAUCUUGCUGCAAACAGCUAUUUCACAGCAUGAUUUUUAAUGGAAGUCUGCACUUUCUGAAGCAUAAUGAAGAAGUCCCAGUUCUUGCCUGGUAGGCAAACAGUAAGUUCAUUGAGUCUGUCAAAUAUGUCAGCCAAGUACUCCCGAGUAAAGCCAGAAAAGGUUUGUCAGGGAAGUGACAAGUCCAUCAAAAUAUAUGGCUGAGUUCACAGGCUCUUUCAGCUUCUUAUUACACUCUUUAUAAAAUCUGCAGCUUUCACAGUUGCAACAAGAACUUCAUCUUGUUCCUCUAGAUUUGUAGCUAGUAGCUAGUAUUUCCAUAUGCAGUAUUCUUGCAAUGUUGCAUCAUAGUGGCUUUGCUUUGUAACGUUGUUAUUCUUGAUCUAUAUUAACUGAACUAGUAGCUUUGACUAGUUUUUGGUCUUCUUGUUGAGCAAUGCUAAAAAAGGAAUUCCUCUUUGAUCUCAUGUACACCAGCACAGUAAAUGGUUAAUUGUGUAUUAUUGGUGCCAUUAGUACUGUCUUCUGUUCGCAGAGCGUGAAAAGGAUGAAGAUCUCAAUCUAGCUACGGGGAAGAGUGCGGAGGUGACUGCGGACGGUGCCACCUCCACAGGGGCUUUGGGUGGUGUGGAAAGGAGGGAAAGUUGAAAUCCAUCCACCACCCGAAUUGCCCCGUAGAGCAAACAGGCUUGUGCCACACUUUUGUGUGACAUGACUCUGCAGGGCUUGGAAACACCAGUGGAAGCUGACUAAUGUCGACUCUAUCCCUGGGAGGCCCAUCCCGCUGGCACCCACUUGGGACGCCAGUGCAAUUCCGCAGCGACCCGGACUUCCGAGUUUCACCAUCAUGUUGCUGAGGGACAGCCAGCCACCAGCGCCUUUGUCCCCUCUGACAGUGGGGAUGUCCCUUGCACUGGUGAGGGAUCAAAUGCAUCAGUGUGGCCCUCCACCAUUCCCUAUGUGUGUUCAGCCCUCCCCAUCUGGAUUGGGCUAUUCCAGUGAAUAAACUAUCUAACGAAUACCUUACUGGCAACUCUGCAUUAAAUGGUGGACUUUGAAAGCAGGAGAAGACUUAGAUGUUUUGCUUGUUUCUAAUGCUCAUAUUAUUAGUAAUGCUGGCAGUACAAGCAUUUUUUUGCUGAGAGACCAGUUAAACCCACUUUGUCUUCCUAUAAUCUAUAAGGCCUUGUGACACUUUGAAAUGUUUAGCAAAUUAAUUGAAUUUCUUUUUUUAACAUAUUUAUCUUUGAAGGCAGGAUGACUUUUUCAAAUGGGGGUUUAAUUGAUUUAAUUGUUAAUUUAAUUAAGUUUUUUUGAUAUAUUGAGUUCAUUCGGGGCCUUUCCUAUUGUAAAAUGGUGAACUAAAAUAAAAUUGGGAGGCAUUUAUCACGUACCCUAUGUUGCCAUACUUCAAAAUAAGCGUAAUAUCUAAUUUGUGAUUCACUAUAAAUAUGUAAUAGGACUCAUUGUGUAGCUAUGAACAAUAUGUGAAAGAAAAAACAGUAUAUAAUUGUUUCAUUGUUUUUAAUCAACCCAGGCCUUAACUGAAGAUACUCAUCCUGGGUGCAGGAUUCUUCCAAUUCUGCUAAACAUGUUGAAAAGAAAUAUUAUAAAUCUAUCUCCCUGAAAAUACCAUUGAAGGAUUCAUCAGUGGACUAGGCAGGUGCGCAUCUAGAUACAGUUUCUUGCAUCUAAUUUAAACUUCACAGUAUGUACAACCAGAUAAUCUAAUGUAAAUGGUACAGUUGUCCAUAUCUUUUGUAUGCAAAUGAGUAAUGGCAGAAGUUGUAUUAGUUCUGUAUUGUUACAGUACCCAGUUUCCUGCACUAUCUUGGAAAAUACUUUAGUGAACUUUUCCUCAUACUGGGGAAGAAGAGCUCCUCUUACGAGAUGGGCACUAUUUCCCAGGCCUUCAAACAAACUGAAAAUUUCACAGCAAUUAUAUGCUCCAGGUUCCCUCUGAAGACCUGCCAAUUUUACUGCAAACAAUGAAGGUUGCUUGCCAGCUUGCAGAGCAUUGUUUACGCAUCUUAUCAACACUCGGCAACAAGAGCAGCUCUUUGGCCAGUGUCAUUUACUUUAUCGCAAACAAAGCAUUUCCAAUGUCCUUUUUAGUUAUUACCAACCCUUGACUUAAGAAAAUAUCACAGAAGUCUCAUUUUUCAGUGCUAGAAAAUAAUUUCCAAAUUUGCAGUUUCUUGCCUAAGAAGUGUCAUUAAAUAUUUCAGAAUAGACCUGCUCAGGAUUGUGUUGUAAUGGAUUUAAAAUUAAGCACUAAAAGAUUAACAUUUGUGUGCUGUAACAACUAUAGACAUGAGAGAUGGUGAAACUACUUAUAGUGUUUACUGAGAUCCAUUCAUUCAGAAUAAUUGUGUGAUAACCUGGGAAUUAGAGGAGUGCAAGUAAGAGAUUCUCAAGGACUUGCGGAGGAGGGGUGGGUCUCACUUUCCCUUUCCCACCAUUUAUUCCUUUCCUUCCCUGAAAGUCCCAUAGCCCCUCCCUUUUUCCUUCUCUCCCUCCUUCCUAUCACCCAAGCUAUCUUUAUCCUCCACCCCCCUGGAAACAUCUUCCUACGAAAACUUUGCACAAUUCUGAUUGCCAGGCUGGGGAAUUACUUGUGGAGGGUUCCUGUAUCUCAGUCCAUGCACUAUUUUCUCCUCUUGGCAGCCCCCAAGUCCUCACGUUUUCCUGUUUCCAUUUCCCACAAAACUUGCAUGAUUCAGCUAGACCUGGCCACUUGCUGCUGUUCAACAGCAGCCAUCUCUUGAAACCCAAUGCGGUGUAGCCAGACUUCCUCACAGGGUUGUUUUGAAGAUAAAAAGGAGGAGGAUAAAGUAAGAUGCUUUAGUUCCCAUCAUAUAGAGAAAGAUGGGAUACAAAUUAAAUAAAUAAAUGAUAGAUACAGCUGAAGAUGAGAGGUAGAUAAAAGGUAGGUUGGUGAAUGGCAGAGAAAGAGAGAAUGAGGAAAGGGAAAAGGAAAUAACGGUUGCCAGGAGGUGAGAAAGAGAAAAUAGUGUGGGUAAGGAGGCCCCCUCCCCCACAAGUCCUUGAGGGUUCCCUCCCAUUCAAAUAGGCCUGGUCCAGUGACUGGCACUACAGAAUUGGGCCAUAAUUUUACUAGGUAAAAUCUGCUGGGGAGUGGAGGAGCUGAAGAAAGAGUGCCAGAUAAAUAUAGGUUGGCUGAUGGGUGAAAUGAAGUGAAGGAAGGAGGGAAAAGAGUGGGAUUAUGGGGUGCUUCAGGAAAGACAGAAAGAGAGGAAGGGGAAAAUGAGAUGCUUCUUCCAAGUCCUUGCAUGUUCCCACUUGUGUAUAUGUAUAAUCUCCACAGAUUUGGCCACACUAAGAAUUAGAUAAUUGACCCACAAGAAGUUGCGGUGGGGGGGGGGAGGAUUUCAUUUUCACCUCCACCACUUCCCUUCCCUGAAACUCUUCUUAUCCUUUCUAACCGUUUCUUCUCUCCUUGCAACCCCACCCCCACCAGCCUACUUUUUAUCUGUCUCCCUUCAACUAUAUUAUUUCAUUCAUAACCUCCCUUUCUCUGCAAUGGAGACCCAACCCUGCUUGUUUUAUACAUCAUUUUUACCGAGCUCUUUUGUAAAUAUAUAUAUCCUGCCUUAUAUGUCUCCUCCAUCUCCAAGUUAAUAUUCCUCCCUUUACCAUCUCCUCUAUUAAAUAAAUCUGAGUUACUGUUUAACUUUACUUCUGCCUUAGUAUAUUUAUUUUAGUAUGCCUGGUGAGGGGAGUGCCCGGAAAGGAAUUAAAAGUCAACGGGCAUGCUUCAGCUUCUGGGAAACAGGGCUGAUGGAAAGCACUUCUUGUUACCAAAUGCUACCAUUUCUGAAGCAGCUCAGUCCCUGAAGACGAAAAGGUGGAAAAAUCUGACAAUCCUGGCCAGUGAGUGCUUUCCCAGCUUGAAGAAGGUAAAAGGGGUGCUGUCACAGCAUCAUUUUCAAAGCAAGAAAAGCAGAUUUUCACUGAUAUAGAACCAAAACCUUCAGUGGGCCUACAACAAUAUGAAAUGAUGACAGAGCAUUCAUUACAUGUAUAACAGCUCAAUUCUAACCAUAUUUCUUUACAAGGAGGUUCCAUUAAUUUAAAUGAGACUUAUCCCCUAGUAGGUGUGCAUAAGACUGCAGCCUAAGCCUAUAGAAGCAGCUACUGUUUCUUGACCUUUUAUACUUAGCAUUUCCCCUUCAGAAACAGCUGGGUCUAUUAAGGACCAUUUCCUACUUCUACAUAAGGUAGAUCAUGUAACUCUCAGUUUAUCAUCCCUGAAGGCCAUCUGAAGGACAAAGAAAAGAGAUACACAUAAAACUAAUGUUUUCAUAUGCUGGAGAACACUUGCUCUGGUCUUCUAGUGACUACAAGAGGCAAGGGGAAUGGAAAUAUGAGAUGAUUGCCCUGUCAUCAAGAGUAGUUGUUUCACACUGUCGGACUCCGAAAAAGUCUUUCAGUGCUGUCAUUUCUUAGAAGUAUUUUACUAAUCUGGAUUUGGGCAGAAUAGUAGGGAUUAUCUUUCCCAAGAUUCCAUGGAUAUGAUAUUGUGUAUGUCUUAAUACCAGCAAGGGCCCAGUCUCAUACCUUAUUUAAAACUGAAGUAAAAAUGCUAUGCUAUUUGUAAUCCACUCUCAGCAUUAUGUACCAUGCCUUAGAAAGUUUGCUUGCUUGCAUUGGUUUCUAAUUCUGUAAUCCUUAUCCUCUUGUUUACUGGAUGUGUUAUGUUGAUUGCAUUUUUAAAUAUUUUGUAAUCUUCCUUCAGUCUCAGCAACAAAGAAAAGCUAUAAUAGGACUUGAGGCUUAAGGCACCCCUUGUAAUGCAGAGCUGUGUGCUGGGUCAGAAUUACUCCUCAUUGUGCCAAUCUCCUCUCAAUAUUGCCCAACAUAAGGGGAGGAAAGCAAAGUUUAUUUUGAUAUUGCUUAGUGUGAAAGCAUUCUUUAAACAGGGUUUUCAUAUCAACGUUUAGGAGAUGACAGCUAAAGUCUAAGGGUCACUAAGAAUGUUACUCCCCCAUCCUAGUGUGCUUUUUAAAAAGUGUGUGGAUGUUUAAAUUGUCUUUCUGAUAAUCUGUGAUAAAGUUUUACAGAAUACCACAUGAUAGAAAUUAUUUAAAUAAAAGUCUAUCCAACAGA